rnacentral:rRNA from 1 species
UACGGAGGGUGCAAACGUUGCUCGGAUUCACUGGGCGUAAAGGGUGCGUAGGCGGCUUGGUAAGUUGGGUGUGAAAGCCCCGGGCUCAGCCCGGGAAGGGCACUCGAAACUGCCGAGCUGGAGUGCCGGAGGGGAGAGUGGAAUUCCUGGUGUAGCGGUGAAAUGCGUAGAUAUCAGGAGGAAUACCGGUGGCGAAAGCGACUCUCUGGACGGCAACUGACGCUGAGGCACGAAAGCGUGGGGAGCAAACAGG